rnacentral:rRNA from 1 species
UACGAAGGGGGCUAGCGUUGCUCGGAAUUACUGGGCGUAAAGCGCACGUAGGCGGCUUUCUAAGUCGGGGGUGAAAUCCUGGAGCUCAACUCCAGAACUGCCUUCGAUACUGGAGAGCUUGAGUCCGGGAGAGGUGAGUGGAACUGCGAGUGUAGAGGUGAAAUGCGCAGAUAUCGGGAAGAACACCCGUGGCGAAGGCGGUUCUCUGGGACGGUACUGACGCUGAGACGCGAAAGCGUGGGGAGCGAACAGG